rnacentral:rRNA from 1 species
GAUGAACGCUGGCGGCGUGCCUAAUACAUGCAAGUCGAGCGAACGGACGAGAAGCUUGCUUCUCUGAUGUUAGCGGCGGACGGGUGAGUAACACGUGGAUAACCUACCUAUAAGACUGGGAUAACUUCGGGAAACCGGAGCUAAUACCGGAUGAUAUUUUGAACCGCAUGGUUCAAAAGUGAAAGACGGUCUUGCUGUCACUUAUAGAUGGAUCCGCGCUGCAUUAGCUAGUUGGUAAGGUAACGGCUUACCAAGGCAACGAUGCAUAGCCGACCUGAGAGGGUGGUCGGCCACACUGGAACUGAGACACGGUCCAGACUCCUACGGGAGGCAGCAGUAGGGAAUCUUCCGCAAUGGGCGAAAGCCUGACGGAGCAACGCCGCGUGAGUGAUGAAGGUCUUCGGAUCGUAAAACUCUGUUAUUAGGGAAGAACAAAUGUGUAAGUAACUGUGCACAUCUUGACGGUACCUAAUCAGAAAGCCACGGCUAACUACGUG